UUCACCUACCCUGCAAUUGGGUAGGAUCCGAAGCUUCUUGAAGGUCACAUAAGCUCUCCUGCCUAACUCCUAUUAUGACACGUCCUCGUCGUGCAGAGUGGAAGCAUGUGCCACCGUAUAUUCAAACAUGGGUACAGGUGCUACUUCCCAACCCCUUGGGUGGAUGUAGGUAGUGUAGGGAACUGUAGGU
rnacentral:ribozyme from 1 species